UUUCUUUUCAUUGAUUCAGCUCGAAAACAACAAUUUCUCUCUCCCUCUUUCUAUUACCACCGAACAGUUCAUCAUACAUAUUUUUUUUUCCGAACAGAUCUUAUCUGAUUCCUCAUCGGUUAGUUUCAUACUUCUCAGAUCCGUUCAGAUGUGACGAAUCAUCUUUUUCAUCCGAUGAUAGAUGUUAUUCUUUCACUUACGAGUGACUUGAUCUUGUCUAACAUUGAAGAAAAGCCGAGGGAAGAAAAGUUUGAGAAAACCAAAGCGUUGAAAGAAACUCGUCUUUUGUCUCUAUAUCAUUCACCAAGCGUGACUCAGAGCUUGUGAUCGUCAGCCACUUCUCACUCUUACUGGGGUGUGCGUUUCCAAUAUGGAUGUCUUCUGGGUUCAGUGACAGAGCUUUAUCCCCAUUUGCCGGAAUCCUCAGCCUCAUGAUUGAAGAUACAAUGGGUGAUGGAGUGAUAUCAGUGCUAUAGAUGAAACUGAUCUUGUAUUGAUGAUUGGUAGGCCCGAAGGUAACACCGGGGUUAGUAAUGGAAAAAAAUUCAAUGAAUCUCCACAUUCCAACAUGUACUUUCUUUGCAAACUUAUCCCAGUAUGUCUUCUUACAGGAUGCCAGUAUUUUUGUUCCCUUCAAAAUAAAUAAGUCCAGCGAUUUAGAUAGUAUCGAUUUAUAUAUCUAUUAGUAAACAGAAAACAGAAAACAAAGAAUAUCGGGUAGCUAAA